ACACUUAGUGCUCAAUUAACAGAAUGACUGUUUCCCCAAAUCUAUUUGCAUUCAGAAUUUGUUUACUUAUGAAUUCUGAAAGCAUGUGAGAGAAGAGCACUUCUCAGAUACUAGAUAAGAGAGCACUACUUUGCCAUGCGUUUCUUUUUCUUUUGAAUACAAUAGAAUAACAGUGAAUGUAUAUAUCCUGUGCUUAAUAGUGUCUAGGCAUUUACUAUGUUUGUAGCAAUUUGGUGUUUUCACUGAGAGCUUUAUGAAUAUUAAACACACAAUAACCAGUAUAAUGAGUUAAUGUUAUAAUUGCAAUAAAGAAAACUUUUCAAUAUGUAGACCAUCAGUAAAUAAUUUCAUGUGUCCUGAGGUUAAAAAAUAGUGAAUAUAUGAGCCUCUUUUGCUCUCUAAGGAUGAUAAAUCCCCAUUAUAUAUUCUUCUGAAACACAAAACUUAAGGUAGAAUUAAGGGACAUAUACCCUGAAACAAACAGUUUCCCCAAAACUUGCCAUGGUUUUUCAAGGAAUUGUAAACUCCUUUCUAUUUCAGUAAGUUCCUCAGAAAAGAUUUGGUGGUGAACAGUUACCCAUAAACUAUUUCAAGGAAAGCGUUUCCGUUAAGAAGUCUGAGACAAAUGGGUACAGUUAUGGUAUUUUUCACAUUCAUUGUGAUCCAAUUUCCCACUACUGUUCAGGUCCCAAAAACUCAAUGGGUUUUCACAAUGCCAGGCUGGAUCCCAGUCUCUAACCGACGAGAAGUGUCCAUGUCAGUGCAGACUCAAUGAGACAAUCUGCCAAACUGAGGAGAAUAUUGUGUAAGUAUCAACAAGAUAAUGUCCUCCCAAAACAUACAAAGGUUAUGGAUGACGCGAAAGAACACGGGGUUCAGGAGCAGGUCAUGCACGAGCAGCUGACUUUGCAGAAAUGGCGCAAAACUUUUGGACUUUGGUUGUUUGACCAAGCUUUGGAAAGAGCUAACUCUCUCAUGAAGAGAAAAAUAUAUUUAUGUCUGUUUUAAAUAAGGCAGAAUCGGUUUGUUCUUAUUGUUGUUCUUGUUGCUUUUAAUUGUUCAUAGUUGGAAAACAGCUCUAAAGCUUCGGAGCACUAGAACAAGCCAAACAGUGGUCGUUUCACAGUGAGGACCAUGCCACUCAAUAGUGGCUGUAGAGCAGGUUACUCUGAGUCUCUUUCAAGUCUCAGCACAGAAGGUAGAAAGCAAGUGAAUGGAGUUACUUCAUAAUUGAAGACAUUAAAGCUAUAUAUAACAACUUCUAGACAGGAAGAACUGUGAAACUUAAAACCUAGGAAUCUGAUACUCAGUGGUCCCUGCCUUCACUCCGCGUCCUUUUUUCUCCAUCCAUUGCAUUCUAUCACUUUAAAGCCUUUCAUCUCAGAGUUGAAUUAGCAAUUUUGUGUCAGAGAUUGUCAUUACAAUACUUAGACAGGAAGAAAAUCUUAGGACUUAUCUUCAAAUAAUAAAUAGACCAUAUUAGGAUGAAAUAGCAGAGGGAUAUAGGGAUACCAUUGCUUUCUUUCCCUCAUCCAUAGUAAUUAUCUUACUUAGGUAAAAAUUCUUAAGAAUUUAACUUGCUGAGGUAGCUGGGCACUUCUGUAAGCCUAGCACUAGGGACAUAGAGGCAGGAGGAUCAAGAUCCCAAGUCUCUCAUCAGUGGUUUGUGGGUUUUUUUUUUUUGUGUGUGUGUUUGUGUGUGUGUGUGUGUGUGUGUGUGUGUGUGUGUGUGUGAGAGAGAGAGAGAGUUUAAAUCCAGCUUGGGCUACAUGAAAUCGUGAAAUCCUGUUUCAGAACAAACCAACAAAAUCCUUAAAAAUAACAAGGAGAAAGAAAUUCAAUCAGCUACUUUGAACUCCAGUUUUCACUGAGGAAAGCCAAGCCCAUGAGAGCAAUGUCACAUAUCAAUGUCACAUAUCCAUUGCCUUGAUUUGUGCCUUAAAGCUCAAACACUUGUGUCACAGAAUCAGAGACAUUGCAGACAAUCUAUUUUAGUCAAAGACUAAGAUAUACAAGAUGAAGAGAUCUUCGGUUAAAAUUGACACUCAAGGAAAUAAGACAAAGCAGAAUAAAUAAACUUAUAGUGCUUUUAGAAGUUUGCCUUUUGAACAUACUCGGGCUGGACGUAGGCCUCUCCCAACAUAAGUAGCAGAUGCGCAGCUUGGUCUUCAUAUGGGGGCUAUCCCAAAAGCUGUUGCCUGUAAGUGGAAUAUGUUCAUGAACUUGAGCUGCCAUGUCUGCUCUCAGUGGGAGAGGAUGCCCCUAGCCUUGCAAAGACCUGAUGUGCCAAGAUUAAGGGAUACCCAGGAGUACCGCCCCCCCCACGUGCUCAGAGGAGAAGAGGAGAGAGGAUGGAGGAAGGAUAGUGGGAGGAGGUGACCGAGAUGGGGCCAGUGAGCAAGUUGUAACGUGAAUAAUUUUGAAAAAGAGAAUUAAUCUUUUUUUUUCCUUUCUGCCUUUAAAUUUAUUAAAACCUUUAUGUAAAAAACAACUUAUAAAUAAAAGUUAUUGUAUGGUGAUAUAAUCAGACCCAAAAUUUAUCAUCUCCAUAGAUUUCAGUAAGGUGAGAAUAGCUGUCCUAAAACUACGAAACUAUACAUUUGAUUUUACACUUUCAUUAUUAAAUAUAUUUAUAUGAGCUUUUCUAUCACCAAAAGAUGAAAAUGCAUGACAGAGUUAGAACCGGAAAGACAAUUACCUUUAUAGGCUCCUUCACGAUUCACGUGUUCACUACCUCACUCUUUCCUUCCUCUUCUCCUGGUGUUUAACUCUGCCUUGUUCUCCUUCCUACUUGUUAUACUGUGCCCAGAUAUACAUCUGCUUACAUGUUUGGAAUACAUUUAUUAUAGGCUAGUAUCUGUAAAGAAGGCAGAACACGUUUUUUAAAUUUCUUUCUGAGUGUGUGACAUCUACAAUAUACAUUUAUUCCCCCCACCAAGUGUUUCGUUUUUCUUUAGAAAUGAAUAGUAUUCAUUUUACAUAUGCCAUAUAAAACACAGAAUUUCAUAGUUGCUAUGCCAGCUUACCCCAAAGUGUUUAAACAGACUGCGGAUGCAGCAUUAACUGUGAUGCCUGUGGUUCUCUGAGUUUGGGAGGCAGACUUCGGCCCUAGCAUUUCCCCUCUUUCCAUACCUGAUAGAAAGAGUUAGUGUGACAUAGAGAUCUGCAUCUUUGCAGGGGCUAGGAUGUUGCUCAGUGGAUAGCUGCUUGCCUACCAUACACUACUUCCCGUGUUUUGUCCCUUGAACCACAUUAGACUAGAUACGAUGGUGUAUGAUUGUAAUCUUACCUGGUAGGAAACCGUCAGGAGGGUCAGAAGUACAAGGUCAACAUUGAACUGCAGAGUGACUUUGAGGCUGGUUUUCAUCACAGGAGUCCCUGUCUUGAAAACAAAUAAGACACUGUUUACAAUGCAGUCUGUGAUGUGUAUAAACAUCAGAACUCUGGCUCUUUUCAGUUCACCAAUCAUAAAUAUAUUUUCAUGAUACCGUUUUUGAGAAGAUCCCAGAAAUACGACAAGAAAAACAACUUUUUUUGGUUUGUUAGGAGUUUUUGUUUGUUUUUCUGUUUUAUUUUGUUUUGUUGAGACAAAGUCUCAUUAUGUAGUCCUACAUGGCCAGGAAGUUGCUAUGGAGACCAGAUCGGCCUUGAACUCAUGGAGAUAAACACAUCUCUGCCUUCAGCAUGCUGAGCUUAAAGGUGUAUACCAUCACACCAAAGACGUUAUUACAUGCUUUAUAGCUCUUACACACCAAGCCUGGUGUUUUGAAAACUCUUCACCAAUCUGAUAAAUAAGGAAGAAAAUGUUUAUUUUGAUAUCUUGGCUUUGAUCUUUUAAAGGCCAACUGGAAAACUCGUGGAUUUUUAAAACCACUGAUAAUAAAAACAUUUUUUUCUGUUUUUGUUUUAUUCCAAUGAUCCGUGUAGAAAUCUGGACCAAAAAAAAAAAUACGUCAAUUUACUAUGGAAAUGUCCAGACACAU
rnacentral:lncRNA from 1 species